rnacentral:rRNA from 1 species
CGGGACUCAACGCCUUGUAAUUGGAAUGAUGGGAACCUAAACCCCUUCCAGAGUAUCAAUUGGAGGGCAAGUCUGGUGCCAGCAGCCGCGGUAAUUCCAGCUCCAAUAGCGUAUAUUAAAAUUGUUGCAGUUAAAAAGCUCGUAGUUGAAUUUCUGCCGCCCCGCCGCGGCCCCCGGGCCCGACGUCGCGGCUUAUUUCGGCGACCUCGCGCCGCCGAAUGUUUACUUUGAGAAAAUUAGAGUGCUCAAAGCAGGCCCUUGCCUUGAAUACUUUAGCAUGGAAUAAUAAAGUAGGACUUUGGUUCUAUUUUGUUGGUUUAGCGCCAAAGUAAUGGUUAAUAGGAACAGUUGGGGGCAUUCGUAUUUAACUGUCAGAGGUGAAAUUCUUAGAUUUGUUAAAGACGAACCACUGCGAAAGCAUUUGCCAAGGAUGUUUUCAUUAAUCAAGAAC